UGGCCUGUAGCUCAAUUGGCAGAGCAGCGAGCUGUUAACUCGCGAGGUGUAGGUUCGAAUCCUUCCAAGCCAGCCAU
rnacentral:tRNA from 1 species